CCUACGGGAGGCAGCAGUGAGGAAUAUUGGUCAAUGGGCGGAAGCCUGAACCAGCCAAGUAGCGUGCGGGAUGAAGGCCCUACGGGUCGUAAACCGCUUUUGCACGGGGAUAACACCCUCCACUUGUGGAGGUCUGCAGGUACCGUGCGAAUAAGGGCCGGCUAAUUCCGUGCCAGCAGCCGCGGUAAUACGGAAGGCCCGAGCGUUAUCCGGCUUCAUUGGGCUUAAAGGGAGCGUAGGCGGGCGUUCAAGUCAGCUGUAAAAGCGCGCGGCUCAAACGCGCCCCGCAGUUGAAACUGGACGCCUUGAGUUCACAACAGGCAGGCGGAAUUCGUGGUGUAGCGGUGAAAUGCAUAGAUAUCACGAGGAACCCCGAUUGCGAAGGCAGCCUGCCGGGGUGCGACUGACGCUGAGGCUCGAAGGUGCGGGUAUCAAACAGGAUUAGAUACCCCAGUAGUC
rnacentral:rRNA from 1 species